rnacentral:lncRNA from 1 species
UUCAUAUUGGGUAUGUUUGGUGUUUUUUGAGGAAUUGGUUCAUUUUAUCUAAGUUAUCAAAUUGUGUGUAGAGUUGUUCAUAGUAAUUGCUGUUCUUUUUUGUUUGUUUGUUUCAUCUUUCUAUCCACCGUGGAUCGGUCACGGCCCAGGAGAGCAUGACGUCACCACAUCGAUCAGAAAAAUGAAAGAUGAGAUUGGACUUCUCAGUUUGUGUCCAGAACAAGGAUGGAGAGGCUCAGCAGCACCGACAGGUCAGUAGGUUUUCUCUGUGCCAUAUGAUGGGGUUCUGAGUUUGCUGCAGCCCUGGCCUUGGGCCAGGCACAUUGUGUCUGAUUUUGAGGUUCAAGGGUAUUGUUAUUUCCACUUUAUCAAUAAGGAAACAAGCUCCGAGUGAGCACUGGACAGCAUUACAAGGUUAUAGAACAUAGCAGGGUUGGGGGUGUCAGCUCUGGGGCUUGGAGACACAACUCAUGUCCCUGCUCCUCUCCUCCCUCUCCCU